rnacentral:snRNA from 1 species
GUGCUCACUUCAGCAGCACAUAUACUAAAACUGGAACAAUACAGAGAAGAUUAGCGUGGCCCCUGUGCAGGGAUGACAUGCAAAUUCGUGAAGCGUUCCAUAUUUUA